UGGGGAAUCUUGCGCAAUGGGCGAAAGCCUGACGCAGCGACGCCGCGUGCGGGAAGAAGGCCUUCGGGUUGUAAACCGCUUUCAGGAGGGACGAAGCCACUCGGGUGAAUAGCCCAGAGGGUGACGGUACCUCCAGAAGAAGCCCCGGCUAACUACGUGCCAGCAGCCGCGGUAAUACGUAGGGGGCCAGCGUUGUCCGGAUUCAUUGGGCGUAAAGAGCGUGUAGGCGGCCAGGUAGGUCCGACGUGAAAACUGGAGGCUCAACCUCCAGCUGUCGUCGGAAACCCUCUGGCUAGAGUCCGGAAGAGGAGAGCGGAAUUCCUGGUGUAGCGGUGAAAUGCGGAGAUAUCAGGGAAGAACACCGAUGGGCGAAGGCAGCUCUCUGGGACGGUACUGACGCUGAGACGCGAAAGCGUGGGGAGCGAACAGGAUUAGAUACCCUGGUAGUCCAC
rnacentral:rRNA from 1 species